CCUACGGGAGGCUGCAGUGAGGAAUAUUGGUCAAUGGACGAGAGUCUGAACCAGCCAAGUAGCGUGAAGGAUGACUGCCCUAUGGGUUGUAAACUUCUUUUAUAUGGGAAUAAAACGUUCCACGUGUGGGAUUUUGUAUGUACCAUAUGAAUAAGGAUCGGCUAACUCCGUGCCAGCAGCCGCGGUAAUACGGAGGAUCCGAGCGUUAUCCAGAUUUAUUGGGUUUAAAGGGAGCGUAGGUGGAUUGUUAAGUCAGUUGUGAAAGUUUGCGGCUCAACCGUAAAAUUGCAGUUGAAACUGGCAGUCUUGAGUACAGUAGAGGUGGGCGGAAUUCGUGGUGUAGCGGUGAAAUGCUUAGAUAUCACGAAGAACUCCGAUUGCGAAGGCAGUUCACUGGACUGCAACUGACACUGAGGCUCGAAAGUGUGGGUAUCAAACAGGAUUAGAUACCCUUGUAGUC
rnacentral:rRNA from 1 species